GGGGCUGUAGCUCAGUUGGGAGAGCGCUUGAAUGGCAUUCAAGAGGCCAAGAGUUCAAUUCUCUUCAGCUCCACCA
rnacentral:tRNA from 7 species